AAACUUGAGAGUUUGAUCCUGGCUCAGAACGAACGCUGGCGGCAUGCCUAAUACAUGCAAGUCGAACGAAGGCUUCGGCCUUAGUGGCGCACGGGUGCGUAACGCGUGGGAAUCUACCCUUGGGUUCGGAAUAACAGAGAGAAAUUUCUGCUAAUACCGGAUAAUGACGUAAGUCCAAAGAUUUAUCGCCCAAGGAUGAGCCCGCGUAAGAUUAGCUUGUUGGUGAGGUAAAAGCUCACCAAGGCGACGAUCUUUAGCUGGUCUGAGAGGAUGAUCAGCCACACUGGGACUGAGACACGGCCCAGACUCCUACGGGAGGCAGCAGUAGGGAAUAUUGGACAAUGGGGGAAACCCUGAUCCAGCAAUGCCGCGUGUGUGAAGAAGGCCUGCGGGUUGUAAAGCACUUUUGUUCGGGAAGAAAUCAUGUCGGUUAAUACCCGGCGUGGAU
rnacentral:rRNA from 1 species